AACAAACAAACAAACAAAAAACCCACAAAGAAAACACAUGAAAACUCCAUCACUUUUCCUUCAUCUUGCACUACAGAGUCAUGUCUGAGACCCAAGAGCCUGAUAUCCACUGAGCUACUGCUUUCAAGCAAUCACUUGCAUAAAUUGUUGCCAGUGUACUGAAAGGCUGCUCUCAGAUCUCCCUGGAUCCUUCUCUUCUCCAGGCUGAACAGCCCCAGCUCUCAGCCUGUCCUUGCGGGGAUGGUGAUCCAUCCCUUGGAUCAUUUUUGUGGUCCUCGUCUGGACACGCCCCAACAGAUCCAUGGCUCUCCUGUACUGAGAACUCCACAUCUGGAUGCAGUACUCCGGAUGAGGUCUCACCAGCACAGCCUAGAGGAGCAGGAUCACCUCCCUCAACCUGCUGGCC
ensembl:lncRNA